rfam:Monodelphis domestica cont3.067266, whole genome shotgun sequence.
AUCUAUGACCAUCCCACCCUGAUCUUGUCUAUCUCAGAAGCUAAGCAGGGUCGCGCCUGAUUAGUGCUUGGAUGGGAUUCUGCCUGGGAAUACGGGGUGCUGUAGGCU